GGGGGCGGCGCGAUUUCCUUGUGAAGGAAUGCGUCAGUCGCCGAGACAGACCCAGCCGGGAAUGACAAGUGUUUCCUUGGGCUUACCAUGGGUGAGCUCCUGAAUUCUGAGUGAGGAACACUUGGCACAGCAUUCCUCAUGAUGGAGAAAAGGCACGAAGACUGCCAUGUUUGGAAACACAGGUCAAACCCCAUAGAAGCAAGGAGAUCCACACAUUCCGGUAUCAUCCACUAAUUUUCUCCACUGAAAGACAUUUUGAUACUGUCUUACAUGGCAGAUAUGAGUAAUAUGCUAGGUCAAUAAGGAAAUACUGACUUUACAGGCCACAAAGUGCAGGUUUGUUUCCAUACCUGCAAACAAGCAAAAAUUCUCACCAGGGAGAGUGACUUUGCCAGGUGCCUUGAGAAGAACCCCUUAGCCUAGAGCUAUCCCUGUGAGCAUAUGGGCUGUGCAAGAAAAGGAGUGGAUUGUUUUAUGAAAAGGUGUUCUCCUAACCUUCGCUGUACUGUGUCUGCAAUGAGUUAUCUGUGCAAGUUCACUGUGACACCUAAAG